rnacentral:rRNA from 1 species
AGCUUAGCUGAAAAGAUUANCAGCUUAGCGGCGGACGGGUGAGUAACGCGUGGGCAACCUGCCCUGUGCAGGGGGGUAACACAUCGAAAGGUGUGCUAAUACCCCAUAAGACUACGAUGUCGCAUGGCAUAGUAGUAAAAGCUGAGGCGGCACAGGAUGGGCCCGCGUCUGAUUAGCUAGUUGGUAGGGUAACGGCCUACCAAGGCAACGAUCAGUAGCCGAUCUGAGAGGGUGAACGGCCACACUGGAACUGAGACACGGUCCAGACUCCUACGGGAGGCAGCAGUGGGGAAUUUUGCACAAUGGGGGAAACCCUGAUGCAGCAACGCCGCGUGAGCGAAGAAGGCCUUCGGGUCGUAAAGCUCUGUCCUAAGGGAAGAAAGAUGACGGUACCUAAGGAGGAAGCCCCGGCUAACUACGUGCCAGCAGCCGCGGUAAAACGUAGGGGGCGAGCGUUAUCCGGAAUGACUGGGCGUAAAGGGUGUGUAGGCGGCCGGUAAAGUCUGGGGUGAAAGGCUACGGCUUAACCGUAGUAAGCCUUGGAAACUUAUCGGCUUGAGUGCAGGAGAGGAGAGCGGAAUUCCUAGUGUAGCGGUGAAAUGCGUAGAUAUUAAGGAGGAACACCAGUGGCGAAGGCGGCUCUCUGGACUGCAACUGACGCUGAGGGCACGAAAGCGUGGGGAGCGANCAGGAUUAGAUACCCUGGUAGUCCCCCCCNUA